UACGUAGGGCGCAAGCGUUGUCCGGAAUUAUUGGGCGUAAAGGGCUCGUAGGGUGCGUGUCGCGUCUGCCGUGAAAGCCCAUGGCUUAACUGUGGGUCUGCGGUGGAUACGGGCAGGCUGGAGGCUGGUAGGGGCAAGCGGAAUUCCUGGUGUAGCGGUGGAAUGCGUAGAGAUCCGGAAGAACACCAGUGGCGAAGGCGGCCCGCUGGGCAGUGGCUGACGCUGAGGUGCGAAAGCGUGGGGAGCAAACAGG
rnacentral:rRNA from 1 species